UUAUGGCUCAGGAUGAACGCUGGCGGCGUGCCUAACACAUGCAAGUCGAGCGAUUACUUCGGUAAAGAGCGGCGGACGGGUGAGUAACGCGUGGGUAACCUGCCUCAUACACAUGGAUAACAUACCGAAAGGUAUGCUAAUACAGGAUAAUAUAAGAGAUUCACAUGGAUUUCUUAUCAAAGCUCCGGCGGUAUGAGAUGGACCCGCGUCUGAUUAGCUAGUUGGUGAGGUAAUGGCUUACCAAGGCGACGAUCAGUAGCCGACCUGAGAGGGUGAUCGGCCACAUUGGAACUGAGACACGGUCCAAACUCCUACGGGAGGCAGCAGUGGGGAAUAUUGCACAAUGGGCGAAAGCCUGAUGCAGCAACGCCGCGUGAGUGAAGAAGUAUUUCGGUAUGUAAAGCUCUAUCAGCAGGGAAGAUAAUGACAGUACCUGACUAAGAAGCCCCGGCUAACUACGUGCCAGCCGCCGC
rnacentral:rRNA from 1 species